UUGAUAAAAGUGAAACUGUUCAGCAGAACAUAUGUUAAAAUGCUACCCACACAUUCAAGUGCAUCUCUCUUAGUGUCUUCUGGUUUCUUCCCCUUUAGGAUUUGCAUACAGGCUCCUCCCCUCCAUUCCUGACUGCUCUGCUGCUCAGGAUUUAAAGAGCAGAGAUGAUGUGAAGCUGUCAUUUCAGCCCCUCCUUCACUUUGAUACUGACUGACAAUGGCUCCCUGGUUCCUGCUUGUGACAAAGCUUUUGUUCCUGCUAUCACAAGAAUCCAGCAGUCAAAUUAUAAUGACGCAGUCCCCUGCAACUGUAUCUCCUCAAUCCGGACAAACAGUUAAGAUGCACUGUAAAGCCAGCAGCUCCAUUAGCUCUGGGGGUACUAACUACCUGGCCUGGUACCAGCAGAGAUCAGGAGAAGCUCCCAAACUUCUGAUUUACUACGCAACCUCUCGAGUGUCUGGUAUCUCAAGUCGGUUCAGUGGCAGUGGCUCUGGCCUCGAUUAUACUCUGACCAUCAGUGACAUGCAGCCAGAAGAUGCUGGACAUUACUACUGUCAGCAGGGCUAUAGCUCUCACACAGUGAUUUAGAGUCAUACAAAAACCUAAUCACCUCAUUGGCAAAGCAGCAAACCCUGCAGGUGCUGAGAGGGAAGUCACUGAGUUGAGCAAUUUCAAGUAUCCACAGACACAGUGUAAAACAGUAAAACAUAUUCAAACCAGUACACAAAUACAAGACCCAGAGCUGUACACACAGUAUUACCAGUGUUCACUUUAGAAACCUUGCUAACCUUUACUACCUUUACAUUGUCCCUGUAGAAAUAUCACCCAUAUGCUAGGGUUUCUGUUUUAACUGGCAAGACUAAAUGGAAUAUGUAAAAAGAGUAGACACCCUAGUUGAAUUUCUCCAUUUCCAGAUUACACAAAGGAGGUCAAAACUUUAAAAUGGUGUGUUUAUGAAAUAUAACUUACACAAAGGGAGAACUGAAGAUAAGAGGAAUAUUCUUGAGCCUACAUAUACAAGACUUAGGCCCUGUCUAUCCAGUGAAAUGACUCACCCACUUGCUCACCUACCACUUACUGUACUACCAAGCAGUCCCUUUCCCACAUUUCACAUACUUCGGCUUGUUCCUCUCCCAGUGAGCCUCCUUCUCAGAUUCUCACAAUUCCAAAUCAAUGUGCCCUCUGA